rnacentral:rRNA from 1 species
UACGUAGGGGGGCAAGCGUUGUCCGGAUUCAUUGGGCGUAAAGAGCUCGUAGGCGGUCUGUCGCGUCUGGUGUGAAAACUCAAGGCUUAACCUUGGGCCUGCAUCGGGUACGGGCAGACUAGAGUGCGGUAGGGGAGACUGGAAUUCCUGGUGUAGCGGUGAAAUGCGCAGAUAUCAGGAGGAACACCGGUGGCGAAGGCGGGUCUCUGGGCCGUAACUGACGCUGAGGAGCGAAAGCAUGGGGAGCGAACAGG